rnacentral:rRNA from 1 species
AGUGAACGCUGGCGGUAGGCCUAACACAUGCGAGUCGAACGGCAGCACAGUAAGAGCUUGCUCUUACGGGUGGCGAGUGGCGGACGGGUGAGGAAUACAUCGGAAUCUACUUUUUCGUGGGGGAUAACGUAGGGAAACUUACGCUAAUACCGCAUACGACCUACGGGUGAAAGCAGGGGAUCUUCGGACCUUGCGCGAUUGAAUGAGCCGAUGUCGGAUUAGCUAGUUGGCGGGGUAAAGGCCCACCAAGGCGACGAUCCGUAGCUGGUCUGAGAGGAUGAUCAGCCACACUGGAACUGAGACGCGGUCCAGACUCCUACGGGAGGCAGCAGUGGGGAAUAUUGGACAAUGGGCGCAAGCCUGAUCCAGCCAUACCGCGUGGGUGAAGAAGGCCUUCGGGUUGUAAAGCCCUUUUGUUGGGAAAGAAAAGCAGCAGGUUAAUACCCCGCUGUUCUGACGGUACCCAAAGAAUAAGCACCGGCUAACUUCGUG